UCGGGGUUGCUGGGCCGCGG
rnacentral:misc_RNA from 1 species